GAUGAACGCUAGCUACAGGCUUAACACAUGCAAGUCGAGGGGCAGCAUGAACUUAGCUUGCUAAGUUUGAUGGCGACCGGCGCACGGGUGAGUAACACGUAUCCAACCUGCCGAUGACUCGGGGAUAGCCUUUCGAAAGAAAGAUUAAUACCCGAUGGCAUAGUUCUUCCGCAUGGUAGAACUAUUAAAGAAUUUCGGUCAUCGAUGGGGAUGCGUUCCAUUAGGUUGUUGGCGGGGUAACGGCUCACCAAGCCUUCGAUGGAUAGGGGUUCUGAGAGGAAGGUCCCCCACAUUGGAACGGAGACACGGUCCAAACUCCUACGGGAGGCAGCAGUGAGGAAUAUUGGUCAAUGGACGAGAGUCUGAACCAGCCAAGUAGCGUGAAGGAUGACUGCCCUAUGGGUUGUAAACUUCUUUUAUACGGGAAUAAAGUGAGGCACGUGUGCCUUUUUGUAUGUACCGUAUGAAUAAGAAUCGGCUAACUCCGUG
rnacentral:rRNA from 1 species